CUGAAGUCUGGUGCUUGCACUAGACGGAUGAGUUGCGAACGGGUGAGUAACGCGUAGGUAACCUGCCUCAUAGCGGGGGAUAACUAUUGGAAACGAUAGCUAAUACCGCAUAACAGUAUUUACCGCAUGGUAGAUGCUUGAAAGGAGCAACUGCUUCACUAUGAGAUGGACCUGCGUUGUAUUAGCUAGUUGGUGAGGUAACGGCUCACCAAGGCAUCGAUACAUAGCCGACCUGAGAGGGUGAUCGGCCACACUGGGACUGAGACACGGCCCAGACUCCUACGGGAGGCAGCAGUAGGGAAUCUUCGGCAAUGGGGGCAACCCUGACCGAGCAACGCCGCGUGAGUGAAGAAGGUUUUCGGAUCGUAAAGCUCUGUUGUAAGAGAAGAACUGUGAGAAGAGUGGAAAGUUUCUCAUUUGACGGUAUCUUACCAGAAAGGGACGGCUAACUACGUGCCAGCAGCCGCGGUAAUACGUAGGUCCCGAGCGUUGUCCGGAUUUAUUGGGCGUAAAGCGAGCGCAGGCGGUUUGAUAAGUCUGAAGUAAAAGGCUGUGGCUUAACCAUAGUACGCUUUGGAAACUGUCAAACUUGAGUGCAGAAGGGGAGAGUGGAAUUCCAUGUGUAGCGGUGAAAUGCGUAGAUAUAUGGAGGAACACCGGUGGCGAAAGCGGCUCUCUGGUCUGUAACUGACGCUGAGGCUCGAAAGCGUGGGGAGCGAACAGGAUUAGAUACCCUGGUAGUCCACGCCGUAAACGAUG
rnacentral:rRNA from 1 species